GAUGAACGCUGGCGGCGUGCUUAACACAUGCAAGUCGAACGGAAAGGCCAGUGCUUGCACUGGUACUCGAGUGGCGAACGGGUGAGUAACACGUGGGUGAUCUGCCCUGCACUUCGGGAUAAGCCUGGGAAACUGGGUCUAAUACCGGAUAGGACAAUGGUUUGGAUGCCGUUGUGGAAAGUUUUUUCGGUGUGGGAUGAGCUCGCGGCCUAUCAGCUGGUUGGUGGGGUAAUGGCCUACCAAGGCGUCGACGGGUAGCCGGCCUGAGAGGGUGUACGGCCACAUUGGGACUGAGAUACGACCCAGACGCCUACGGGGGGCAGCAGUGGGGGAUAUUGCACAAUGGGCGCAAGCCUGAUGCAGCGACGCCGCGUGGGGGAUGACGGCCUUCGGGUUGUAAACUCCUUUCGCUGGGGACGAAGCGUAUUUGUGACGGUACCUGGAGAAGAAGCACCGGCUAACUACGGGC
rnacentral:rRNA from 1 species